rnacentral:rRNA from 1 species
CACACUGUAAACGAUGAUUACUAGGUGUGGGGGGUCUGACCCCUUCCGUGCCGGAGUUAACACAAUAAGUAAUCCACCUGGGGAGUACGGCCGCAAGGCUGAAACUCAAAGGAAUUGACGGGGGCCCGCACAAGCAGUGGAGUAUGUGGUUUAAUUCGAAGCAACGCGAAGAACCUUACCAGGUCUUGACAUCCCGUGCAUAGCCUAGAGAUAGGUGAAGUCUUUCGGGACACGGAGACAGGUGGUGCAUGGUUGUCGUCAGCUCGUGUCGUGAGAUGUUGGGUUAAGUCCCGCAACGAGCGCAACCCUUGUCAUUAGUUGCUACGCAAGAGCACUCUAAUGAGACUGCCGUGGACAACACG